CGGACCUGCCCAGGAAGCCGGCACCCGGGCACGACGUGAGGACCGCCAGACUCGCUGACUGCGGUCGCUUCCCGAGGGGCCCCGGGAGCGCCUGCUGGAAGCCCUUUCACCCCAAACCCCCUGCCGAGAAGCAAGAGGACUGGAGACAGACGUGGUGGAGGGAGAGUCACGUUUCGGAGAGGGAAGUGAAAUAAAGAGGGCGGCACCCGGGGGGACCUGUGCGUCAUUGAGG